rnacentral:rRNA from 1 species
GGCGGCAGGCCUAACACAUGCAAGUCGAACGGUAGCACAGAGGAGCUUGCUCCUUGGGUGACGAGUGGCGGACGGGUGAGUAAUGUCUGGGAAACUGCCCGAUGGAGGGGGAUAACUACUGGAAACGGUAGCUAAUACCGCAUAACGUCGCAAGACCAAAGAGGGGGACCUUCGGGCCUCUUGCCAUCGGAUGUGCCCAGAUGGGAUUAGCUAGUAGGUGGGGUAACGGCUCACCUAGGCGACGAUCCCUAGCUGGUCUGAGAGGAUGACCAGCCACACUGGAACUGAGACACGGUCCAGACUCCUACGGGAGGCAGCAGUGGGGAAUAUUGCACAAUGGGCGCAAGCCUGAUGCAGCCAUGCCGCGUGUAUGAAGAAGGCCUUCGGGUUGUAAAGUACUUUCAGCGAGGAGGAAGGCGUUGUGGUUAAUAACCGCAACGAUUGACGUUACUCGCAGAAGAAGCACCGGCUAACUCCGUGCCAGCCGCCGCGGUAAAAGGG